rnacentral:rRNA from 1 species
CUACGGGGGGCAGCAGUGGGGAAUAUUGCACAAUGGGCGCAAGCCUGAUGCAGCCAUGCCGCGUGUAUGAAGAAGGCCUUCGGGUUGUAAAGUACUUUCAGCGGGGAGGAAGGGAGUAAAGUUAAUACCUUUGCUCAUUGACGUUACCCGCAGAAGAAGCACCGGCUAAGUCGUGCCAGCAGCCGCGGUAAUACGGAGGGUGCAAGCGUUAAUCGGAAUUACUGGGCGUAAAGCGCACGCAGGCGGUUUGUUAAGUCAGAUGUGAAAUCCCCGGGCUCAACCUGGGAACUGCAUCUGAUACUGGCAAGCUUGAGUCUCGUAGAGGGGGGUAGAAUUCCAGGUGUAGCGGUGAAAUGCGUAGAGAUCUGGAGGAAUACCGGUGGCGAAGGCGGCCCCCUGGACGAAGACUGACGCUCAGGUGCGAAAGCGUGGGGAGCAAACAGGAUUAGAUACCCCUGUAGUC